rnacentral:rRNA from 1 species
UGCGGAAGAGAUAAGUGCUGAAAGCAUCUAAGCACGAAACUUGCCCCGAGAUGAGUUCUCCCUGAGACUUUAAGUCUCCUGAAGGAACGUUAAAGACGAUGACGUUGAUAGGCCGGGUGUGUAAGCGCAGCGAUGCGUUGAGCUAACCGGUACUAAUGAACCGUGAGGCUUAACCUUACAACGCCGAAG